CUGAGAGAAAGAAAGGUAGGAUCUGUUCAGCUUAGAGAAGGCUUGGGGCCAGCUCAGCCACCCAUGUGUACAAAUAACCAAAGGGAGGGCACACAGAAGACUCAGGCUCUUAGCGGUGCAGCAGCAGGACUGGAAGCAAUGGCCACAUACUAAGACACAGGGGAUUCUAUUGUGAAGAUAAAGAAACACUUUCUCACCGAGGGUGACUGUGCACAUUCACAGGUUGCCCUGAGGGGUUAUGGGCACUCCAUCCUUGGUGGUAUCCAAAAGGCAUAUGAACACAAUGCUGGGCAUCUUGCUGCAGGUAGGAGGCUCUGCCUGAACAGAGACUUUGGACAAGAUGACCUCAGGAGAUUCCUUCUAACCUCUGCCUUUCUUUGAAACAUGUUGAGAGCUGUUAAUGUGGUCAUCAUCUUCAGCACUGUUUGAUAUUUUGUUCUUCGGAAGUGUACCUGGAGCCGAGUCCUGGUGGUGGUCAUGAAAUAAAGAGACUCUAAGCAUUGCAUGAACAGGACACAAUUGCAGCUGGGCACUGCGCUAGGCAUAACGGCAGCGCUCCCAGUUAGAGCAGUUACCCACAAGGUGGUGUGCUAACACUAACAACCAGCUUCCAUCUUUCAGGCAGGCGUAAGCUGGGGAAGUGAGAAAUAAAUCCUUUCUACUGCCUGUGAAAAAAAUCAUAAAAUCACCAAGGUUGGAAAAGACCUCCAAGAUCACCCAGUCCAACCGUCCACCUACCACCAAUAGUUCUCACUGAACCAUGUCCCUUCGGACAACAUCUGAAUGCUUCUUGGGCACCUUCAAGGACAAUGACUCCACCAUCUCCCUGGGCAGCCCAUUCCAUUGCCUGACCACUCUUUCAGAGAAGAAAUUUUUCCUAACACCCAACCUGAACUUCCCCUGCCCUAUGGCAAUACUUCAUGGCUGUUUUAGCUAAACCUUGCAGAAUUUACACCAGGUCCUGAAGCAGAAAACCACCUUACUGUCUGCAGAACUCGCUGGUGAUGUUUGGAAGGGGAUAGGCAAAGAGAGUGAAAUCCAGGAUGUACUUUGGGAGCAACUCUUCUAUCAGCCUGUGGUUGGUGUUGUGCAGGUAGUAAUGGAGCAUUUCCACCGUCACAGGCUUGUACCACAACUGCCCUUCUGGGAAGUGGGUGAAGGAUGGUGCCUGAACUUCCUCCAGGACACGGUUGACGUGUACCACAUAGCGCAGGGCUGGCACAGGCUGUAGAUGGGCAUCCAGUGCUCGUUCAUCCUCUCCACCUUCUCAUCCAGUAAUGUAGUGGAGAAACUCAGAGAAGGUCACGUUGCUGCCCACCGACUUCCCUCCGUUCUUCUGAUACCGCCUGACUGUCUCCACCCCAUACUUCUGCUGGCACGAGAUUUUGAGGUGUUUGGAUGACAUGCAAACAAAAAAGUUUAAGAUCAUCUCACUCCUCAGAACCAGCACAAAUGUUCACAUUCUGUUAGGUUGGUGCUUUACAGCCACCAUCCUUUACAGCAGUCUCAGGUGACUGAUGUCAGGCAAGUCAGUUGGCAAAAAGUGAAAACAUACUGCAAGAACCCCUGAGAAAGAGACUGCCUUUGUAACUGAAUGGCUGCAAGUGACCUGCAGCUGUGGCUUUGUGCAGCUGUGCAUGCAGUAGUGUGAGCACAUGGACCUGCUGCUCUCCAAAGUCCACUGCCAAGCAGGAACAGUUUUUCCAAGCAAGCACCCAAGUUACAAGAACCUUCAUUACCGGUGUCUGUUAGUAAAAAAUGAAAUACCUCUGUGAUUUCAUGGAGAAACUUGUAUCUCCUAUGACCAGUCCCAUAAAGCCACUGAAUCACAUAAUUCCUGAAAACGGAAAUUUAUGGGGCCAAUUAAGGGUGUCUCAGUAAAGAUGCCUGUCUUCUUAUAAGUUAUUUACAUAGCUUUGUAAAUAUAUGGUGCAGAAGAGGAGGAGUUCUGAGCUGUGUAAGUGAAAAGCCCCCUCUCUAGUGGAUUUGUGAACUAGAUAUACAAGUGAAAUUGAAGACAAGCAGAUAUAAAAAUCCUGCAGCAAGUGAGUCUCAGAGCAGACUUUCCAUCUGUUUUUCUCUCCACUUAUGACACUGCUUCCAAUUAAUAAAGGUCAGUGAUCUGAGUGUUACUGGACAUACAUCAGUUCAGUACCCCUCUAUGAUGAUGGAAAUUCAUGUAAAAUCUUGCUGCAUGUGAAACUUUCAUUUUCUGUUUAUUUAGUGCCUUAAGAAUAGUAUUUCCAGUAAGAAAUAAGCUUUAACUAUAUAACUAGUUGUGUACUGCAAAAAGCACAUUGAUGCCCUUUUAUCUGACUAAACGGCAGUACCAGUGAGAGAAAAAAAAAAGGGGGGGAGGGUGGGAAGAGAAAGAACAACCUUCUACACUAAGAAAGAAAUGCCUUCAUUAAACUCGAUGUUAACACAGACACCUGUAGGCACAUUGAAAUGUUUAAUCAUCUAUUUCAUUUCUAGGCUAAAAUAACAUUUUUAGGUUCAGAAUUCCAAACUCUGUGACAAGUUCGUAAUUCAGUGUUCUGUGAGAGAGACAUAAGGUUUUCACUUUGCCUCCACAGUCUUCCAGUCAUGAAGGAAUCUAAGUUAAGGCAAAUAGAACUAUAAAUUGGAAAACAAGCUGGAUGUGAGUCUGCUCCCUAAAUAUCCUAUGUCUGGAUACCAUUCCUCAGAUGUCGUGCAGACUGGAGGAGAGGCCCAAAGAAGCGCCCAGAGACAGACACGCUGAAACCUGAGAGUUCCUUCAGUCUGUGUUUGUUUUGUUUGACCUACUGGCCAAUUGUCAGAUGGGUCCUCAGAGUCCACAAGAAUGUGUCAUCUCUCAAGUGAAAGACAGUUUGUUGAUAGUCCAUGGGAACAGGUACUUCAGAGAGUCUUCAAAGGAUCUUUGCCAUCACUAUGGUAAUACCAGUUUCAAGCUGGCUGGUUAAAAUUACUGUGAGUAAUUGCACACUAUGAAAGUCAUUUAAUCACUG
ensembl:lncRNA